rnacentral:rRNA from 1 species
AUUGAACGCUGGCGGCAGGCCUAACACAUGCAAGUCGAGCGAGUGGCGGACGGGUGAGUAAUGUAUGGGGAUCUGCCUGAUAGAGGGGGAUAACUACUGGAAACGGUGGCUAAUACCGCAUACCAUCGGAUGUACCCAUAUGGGAUUAGCUUGUGGGUGGGGUAACGGCUCACCUAGGCGACGAUCGCUAGCUGGUCUGAGAGGAUGAUCAGCCACACUGGAACUGAGACACGGUCCAGACUCCUACGGGAGGCAGCAGUGGGGAAUAUUGCACAAUGGGCGCAAGCCUGAUGCAGCCAUGCCGCGUGUAUGAAGAAGGCCUUAGGGUUGUAAAGUACUUUCAGCGGGGAGGCGUUACCCGCAGAAGAAGCACCGGCUAACUCCGUGCCAGCAGCCGCGGUAAUAC